UGAACAUAAGGUUCCUCCUACAUCUCCGGCCGAGGAAUUUUAUUUUGUGGCUGGAGACCCCAAGCUGGAGUUUGGCCCCGAGUACCCGGGAGCAGGAAGGGCACACACACCGCGGGCUCAGCUCACCUGGCCUGGAAAAGUGAGACCGAAGCCACCCCACCAGCCACUUCCGCGUGAACCUAACACGCCCUAGCAAGAAGUCUAAUAAGUCUACCUAAUCUACCCAAUUUGUGCCCGCGUCCCCUCUCACUGCUCAGCCAGUGGCUAAAUCACUCGGCACUGAGUGCCAUCACACCUGAUUGACCUCGCACGACAACCGCUCAGCCCAUGACAGGCCGAGUCUUAACGGACCCGGAGCCGUCCUGACCCGGUGCGAUGACUUGAUUCUCCGAGGCUCCAAACUUGGACAUCACCCUCCCAGAGCAGCUGUUCGCUGGCCCAGGAGCUAGGUCCCCCCGCCACACUCUGUUGCCAGAAGAUGAGCCCUCCCUCUCCGCCUGUCUUCUGACUCAGCUGGACUCUCUCCGCCUCCUUAGUCUUCCAGGCGUUCCUCCACCCCCUUCACGAACACCUGGCAAAACAAGACAGGAGCGUGAUCCUAUGCAUAAGCGGAGGAACAUUUACUCCAACCUGGGGGAAGUCUUCUCAGCGCCUUACCUGGCAGAAGAACAAGGGCCGGUUGAUGAGUGAUUUUGCAAGCCUCUUUGGAGGCUCAUAGUGUGGGAUCCCCCGUGUGGCCCAGGAGCUCUGCCCAGAGCCUUCCUCAGCUAGCAGCGUCCUUCCCGGCCCUGGGGAGUCACUUCCCAAACCUCGUCCUUGUUCACAGUGAGUUACUAAGAGUCGAUUCAGUACUGUGAUAGGCCAAUAAACGUUUUCUCCACAGCUAAAACUCCUUUAUGACAAACACCAUUAUAAACAUUUAAAAAAAUUCUUCACAAUCGCAGAGUACCCAUGUAACCAGGUUGUCCUCCCUGAAGAGGAGCUCCUGGAGCUGGUGUGGUGAGGGAAGAUUCUGGGUCCCCUCACCUACGUCCUCCCCCACUGACUCCACCCUCCAAACCCCCUCCAACCCUCCUCCAACUUCCCAACCUUAACCACAAGCGCAGCCCCUCCGCUUACG